GUGCUGAUGAAGAGUCCCAAACCAGGACGAAACAGCUGUCCAGUAC
rnacentral:hammerhead_ribozyme from 1 species